rnacentral:rRNA from 1 species
AUACGGAGGAUGCAAGCGUUAUCCGGAUUUAUUGGGUUUAAAGGGUGCGUAGGCGGUUUGCUAAGCGGGAGGUGAAAUGCCGGCGCUCAACGUCGGAAGUGCCUCCCGAACUGGUGGACUUGAAUGACUCUGCCGUGGGAGGAAUGUGUAGUGUAGCGGUGAAAUGCUUAGAGAUUACACAGAACACCGAUUGCGAAGGCAUCUCACGAAGGGUUGAUUGACGCUGAGGCACGAAAGCGUGGGGAUCAAACAGGAUUAGAUACCCUGGUAGUCCACGCCGUAAACGAUGAUGGCUAACCGCUGGGCUUAUCAGUUCAGUGGCCAAGCGAAAGCGAUAAGCCAUCCACCUGGGGAGUACGACCGCAAGGUUGAAACUCAAAUGAAUUGACGGGU